rnacentral:rRNA from 1 species
CCUACGGGGGGCAGCAGUGAGGAAUAUUGGUCAAUGGCCGGGAGGCUGAACCAGCCAAGUCGCGUGAGGGAAGACGGCCCUACGGGUUGUAAACCUCUUUUGUCAGGGAGCAAGGUGCAGGUCGGGACCUGCUGUGAGAGUACCUGAAGAAAAAGCAUCGGCUAACUCCGUGCCAGCAGCCGCGGUAAUACGGAGGAUGCGAGCGUUAUCCGGAUUUAUUGGGUUAAAAGGGUGCGCAGGCGGAGGCACAAGUCAGGGGUAAAAUCGCGGGGCUCAACCCCGCUCCGCCGUUGAAACUGUGUGCCUUGAGUGCGCGAAGGGUAGGCGGAAUGCGUGGUGUAGCGGUGAAAUGCAUAGAUAUCACGCAGAACUCCGAUCGCGAAGGCAGCCUACCGGCGCGCAACUGACGCUCAUGCACGAAAGCGUGGGUAUCGAACAGGAUUAGAUACCCCGGUAGUC